rnacentral:rRNA from 1 species
GUCGUGAGACAGGUUAGUUUUACCCUACUGACAAGUAGUGGUCCAUUAGGGCCUUUGUACCUCAACAGAAUAUAAAACUCAGUACGAGAGGAACUGUUUUAUCAAACCUCUGGUGCAAUCGUUGGUAUGAUUUGACCGUUAUGAGUGUCUACGUCUGUCAAUUAAUGGCUGAACGCCUCUAAGUCAGAAAUUGAUCUGACA